AUUGAACGCUGGCGGCAUGCCUUACACAUGCAAGUCGAACGGCAGCGGACCUUCGGGUGCCGGCGAGUGGCGAACGGGUGAGUAAUGCAUCGGAACGUACCUUUCAGUGGGGGAUAACGUAGCGAAAGUUACGCUGAUACCGCAUAUUCUGUGAGCAGGAAAGCAGGGGAUCGCAAGACCUUGUGCUGAUUGAGCGGCCGAUGUCAGAUUAGCUAGUUGGUGAGGUAAAGGCUCACCAAGGCGACGAUCUGUAGCGGGUCUGAGAGGAUGAUCCGCCACACUGGAACUGAGACACGGUCCAGACUCCUACGGGAGGCAGCAGUGGGGAAUAUUGGACAAUGGGCGAAAGCCUGAUCCAGCCAUGCCGCGUGUGUGAAGAAGGUCUUCGGAUUGUAAAGCACUUUAAGUCGGGAGGAAGGGCUGUAGGUUAAUACCCUGCGGUUUUGACGUUACCGACAGAAUAAGCACCGGCUAACUUCGUGCCAGCCGCCGCCGUAAGAC
rnacentral:rRNA from 1 species